GAUGAACGCUGGCGGCGUGCCUAAUACAUGCAAGUCGAGCGAACAGACGAGGAGCUUGCUCUUCUGACGUUAGCGGCGGACGGGUGAGUAACACGUGGAUAACCUACCUAUAAGACUGGGAUAACUUCGGGAAACCGGAGCUAAUACCGGAUAAUAUAUUGAACCGCAUGGUUCAAAAGUGAAAGACGGUUUUGCUGUCACUUAUAGAUGGAUCCGCGCUGCAUUAGCUAGUUGGUAAGGUAACGGCUUACCAAGGCAACGAUGCGUAGCCGACCUGAGAGGGUGAUCGGCCACACUGGAACUGAGACACGGUCCAGACUCCUACGGGAGGCAGCAGUAGGGAAUCUUCCGCAAUGGGCGAAAGCCUGACGGAGCAACGCCGCGUGAGUGAUGAAGGUCUUCGGAUCGUAAAACUCUGUUAUUAGGGAAGAACAAAUGUGUAAGUAACUGUGCACGUCUUGACGGUACCUAAUCAGAAAGCCACGGCUAACUACGUG
rnacentral:rRNA from 1 species